ACGCUGACAGAAUGCUUAACACAUGCAAGUCUACUUGAACUUCGCGUUUGGGUGGCGGACGGGUGAGUAACGCGUAAAGAACUUGCCUCACAGUUAGGGACAACAUUUGGAAACGAAUGCUAAUACCUGAUAUUAUGAUUUUAGGGCAUCCUAAGAUUAUGAAAGCUAUAUGCGCUGUGAGAGAGCUUUGCGUCCCAUUAGCUAGUUGGAGAGGUAACGGCUCACCAAGGCGAUGAUGGGUAGCCGGCCUGAGAGGGUGAACGGCCACAAGGGGACUGAGACACGGCCCUUACUCCUACGGGAGGCAGCAGUGGGGAAUAUUGGACAAUGGACCAAAAGUCUGAUCCAGCAAUUCUGUGUGCACGAUGACGUUUUUCGGAAUGUAAAGUGCUUUCAGUUGGGAAGAAAAAAAUGACGGUACCAACAGAAGAAGUGACGGCUAAAUACGUGCCAGCAGCCGCGGUAAUACGUAUGUCACAAGCGUUAUCCGGAUUUAUUGGGCGUAAAGCGCGUCUAGGUGGUUAUGUAAGUCUGAUGUGAAAAUGCAGGGCUCAACUCUGUAUUGCGUUGGAAACUGCAUGACUAGAGUACUGGAGAGGUAAGCGGAACUACAAGUGUAGAGGUGAAAUUCGUAGAUAUUUGUAGGAAUGCCGAUGGGGAAGCCAGCUUACUGGACAGAUACUGACGCUAAAGCGCGAAAGCGUGGGUAGCAAACAGGAUUAGAUACCCUGGUAGUCCACGCCGUAAACGAUGAUUACUAGGUGUUGGGGGUCGAACCUCAGCGCCCAAGCAAACGCGAUAAGUAAUCCGCCUGGGGAGUACGUAC
rnacentral:rRNA from 2 species